rnacentral:rRNA from 1 species
UACGUAGGUGGCAAGCGUUGUCCGGAUUUAUUGGGCUUAAAGGGUGCGUAGGCGGUUCUAUAAGUCUGUGCUGAAAUAUCCCGGCUUAACCGGGAGGGUGGCAUUGAUACUGUUGGACUUGAGUAAAGUUGAGGUUGGCGGAAUUGACGGUGUAGCGGUGAAAUGCUUAGAUAUCGUCAAGAACACCGAUUGCGAAGGCAGCUAACUAAGCUUUAACUGACGCUGAGGCACGAAAGUGUGGGGAGCAAACAGG